CUCGGCCCGCCGGGCGGCCCCUGACGUGUCGGGGAGGAGCCGGGCGCCGAGGUGCGCGGAGUGGAGCUCUGGGCUGCGGAGGGGAGCGGAGCUGAGCGGCUGGGCGGGCCUGGCCAGGCCAGCGGAGCGGAGACGGCGGUCGAGCGGCGGCGAACAUGCGCUUUUGACACAUUGGAGGCUUUCUUGAUCAUGGAUGGUGAAGAUAUACCAAAUUUUUCAAGUUUAAAGGAGGAAACUGCUUAUUGGAAGGAACUUUCCUUGAAGUAUAAACAAAGCUUCCAGGAAGCUCGGGAUGAGCUAGUUGAAUUCCAGGAGGGAAGCCGAGAAUUAGAAGCAGAGCUGGAGGCACAGUUAGUACAGGCUGAACAGAGGAACAGAGACUUGCAGGCCGAUAACCAGAGACUGAAGUAUGAAGUCGAAGCACUAAAGGAGAAACUAGAACAUCAGUAUGCACAGAGCUACAAGCAGGUCUCGGUAUUAGAAGAUGAUUUAAGUCAGACUCGGGCCAUUAAGGAGCAGUUGCAUAAGUAUGUGAGAGAGCUGGAGCAGGCCAACGAUGAUCUGGAGCGAGCAAAGAGAGCAACAAUAGUGUCACUGGAAGACUUUGAACAAAGGCUAAAUCAGGCCAUUGAACGAAACGCAUUUUUAGAAAGUGAACUUGAUGAAAAGGAAUCUUUGUUAGUCUCUGUACAGCGGUUAAAGGAUGAAGCCAGAGAUUUAAGACAAGAACUGGCAGUCCGGGAGAGACAGCAGGAAGUCACCAGAAAGUCGGCGCCCAGCUCUCCGACCCUGGACUGUGAAAAGAUGGACUCUGCUGUGCAGGCGUCGCUUUCUUUGCCAGCUACUCCCGUUGGCAAAGGGACGGAAAACAGUUUUCCUUCACCCAAAGCUAUACCAAACGGUUUUGGUACCAGUCCACUAACUCCUUCCGCUAGGAUAUCAGCACUAAACAUCGUGGGGGAUCUCUUACGGAAAGUAGGGGGAAUGUUAACUGUGGGCUGAUGAACAGCGACAGCACAAAGUUCCCUCGAUCAGGACACACGUCUUUCUUUGACAAAGGGCAAGAAAAAGUCAUAUUUCCCACGUUGUUCAUGGGUAACUGAAUUUGUUUGCUGUGCUCUUUUCCUUCUUUCGCAGUCAUGGUAUAUGGUGGAAGACGCAUUAACAGAGUGGUGUUACUAACUGCAUGGGGCUGACUCUGCUUUAACCAACUUAACAGCCUGCGAGUGGCCUGUCAGGUUCCCGUUGGGCCGACUGUCCCCCUUCGUACUGGCUCGGCCGCGCAGGACAAGACAGUUGGUGGUGGCGGUCCUGGGGCCGUUGUGGCCGGCAGGCCUGUGACCCCUAUGACGUAGGGUCAGGGGUUGCGGUGAUGACGCUGGAAGUCUGGGCGAGGGGGUGGAGUGUCCCUGUCAGGCCCGGGGAUCACCUCUGAUUCGACUUCAUGGGACUAGGGUUCUUCCUGCUGCCCGGAGCCCUCUGUUUUCUCAAGGCAGGCGCCAGUGCUGGUGGGGGCUCUCUCCUCCACACUCACUCGUGUAUCCCCAAGUAUGCUGGAAUGUUCUAGACGGACUUGUGUGUGUACGAUCUGUCCUGUCAGGAAUGCACCUUUCAGUUCGCAGAGCUGCUGGGGCUCGUGUGAGCAUCCGUUCUUCUGGGAGCCUGUGCUCACGCAGCACCUCCGGCCUUCUCUCGUCCUGUCCUUGCUGCUCGGAAGGGUUCCGUCUCCGUGCUUUGUGUCUGUCACGAGAGGUUUCUUGCCCUCCUGACUAGCUCUGUCCGCCUUCUCACUUCUUCUGUUGCCAUUUUACAGCCGACCUUGGUAUCUGCCCUUAGCUAGAUUCUCCGUUUUUCAGACUCUCGAACCAGACUAUGGUGGUAAGACCAUGACAUUUCAUAGCUCCUGGAACCUUUUUGGUGUAGGUGAUUGCCAGAUCUGGUUCUCCAUCCCUGCCCGUUCCCUCUCCACUGGGACAUGUCCCUUUGGCUCUUUUGCUGCUCCUGAAACCCGAUGUGGGGGGCAGGGGGUGUUGCUUCUCUUGGAGCCUUUUCCCCACUGCACAGCUUUCUGUUCCCCAGAGGACCUCGGCAGACAGCCGCCUCCUCCUGCUCCUCCUCCCUUCCUCCUCCCCCUUCCUUUUUCCUUCCUUUGGUUUGUUUGUUUCUCUUUCUCUCUCUCUCUUCCCCUUCCUUCCUUCCUUCCCUCCCUUCCUUCCUCUUUCUUCUCCUCCUCCCCCUCGCCCCCCCACCCCCACCCGGCCUUUUACUUCCCACACCUUGACUCAGGUGCCCAGAGAGGCCCUGGCAGAUUGUUACUCUCUCUGUGCAUCAUCCUGCCUUCAAAUCAAGAAUUCGCAUUUCUGCCCACACAGAGGAAUCGCCCACCUACUUGUUUUCCUCUUAUAUUCUGGAUUGCACUGCUGCUUUCCCCGUUAGAGCUGGGCGGCAUCGGGAGCACCGGAGUUGUUGCCGAGGGCUGUCAGGUGCCCUCUGACCAGGCGCAGACAGGGCAGAGAGAAUGUGGCCUGCGCCCCCAUUGACAAGUUCACGGGGUGAGCCUAGGCUGGGCUUGGGCUUGCUUUGGUCUCUUUAGUAAUAGAACGAUAGGGACGAACUUGGCGUUUUUUAAGGUCUAUCUAGCUUGAAAAUGCAGGAACCCCAGCCCUAAACCUGCAUGUGGGGCCAUUCUCCUGGGGUUUUUGCACGUCCCUGGGGGAACAGGUGCCGGCUGCUGCUUGGUGCCCAGCGGGGCCUGUGCCGUGCUCUGGGACCGGAGUCUGGCGGUCACAUGUUUAAGGCGGAGGCCUGCCUCGUUGUUGCUGAGCGUCUAGGACUAGGAAGUGAGUCCUGGGGCCCUGGGACUGGCCGGUUGAAUGACAGCCGGGGCUUGUCCCAUGGAGGCUGCAGUGGCAGGCGGGAUGCGGCCCUGCCCUGAGGAGAGUCACAGGCAGAAUGGAGUGGGUGAUCUGAAGUUUUCACAGGUGAUGAAGCCUGGAUGUCCGCCCUCCCCGAGCCCAGAAGGAAAGGGGAGCUCCUGGGUGUGCUCGCUGGGGGAGGAAGUUGAGGUGGGGGGGGGGGGGUCACGCCUCCCAGAGCCCCUCCUCUUGCUCUUGGUCUGAGUGUACCUGGCUUGAUUCCAAAGGCAGCAUCUCUGCUCUGAGCUUGGUUACUUCAGAGUUCAGAUGUUAACUCUUUCUUCAGAGCGGUCAGGGUCAUUUGUCGUCUCUGUGCAUGCCCGUUUCUCCGAGUUGCUUCUUCAGUGUAUGAAACAAUGAACCUGUAGGGUGUGUGUGUCUGUUCUCGUUCCUUUGAAGAGAACCUCUCUCCUUGAGCCCGUGUUCAACUCCCCGGACCCCUGUGAUGAGCAGGUGGUGGCAGGGGGGGCGGGGGACAGCGAUGGCACGCAUGGCACGGUGCAGGCCCCGCGCUUGGCCGCACCUCUCAGAUCGCUAGUGGGGCGGAUUCCCCGGGAGUGUGUUCAGUAUGGAAGGGCUGCGUGGCUUCCUGAGAGAGGUUCCAGCCCUGUGAUCCUUCGCUGGCUGCUUCCUGUGGCUGUGGGGGCCGCUGGGCGGGGCUGGGGCACUCUGCACCUUCUGGGCCUGGGUGCCAGGUGCUGGCUGUAGGCUCUGGGGGCUGGGCUGGGCUGGGCACGGCACUCAGGCCUCUGCAGAGAAGCCUCCCCUGUCUGGCUCUGCUUGGGAAACAGUUUAACAGUUACUUCUUCCUCUGUCUCGUUAAGAUAUUCACGUGUAGUGUAGGAGAUUGGGAAAACAAAGAAAAAGUAUAAAGUAUUGAACAAAAUUUACCCGCUACCCAGAUGGAGGAAAAGUAACUCGUUAAAUUUUCUUUCCAUAACAUAUAUGAUUUUAUAUGCAUAUAUGUGUAGCGUCCCCCUCCCCGCACAUUCUAGCACAUUCUAGAUGUAGCUGCCUAGAAGUAACGUCCAUUUAUAUAAGAGGUUGCAGUUUAGAAUCUAGUACCUAACUACUUUUCUCCUUCACGUCGUUGAACACAUACAGGUCGGUAACUGCUCAUUCUACCUAGUGUUAAUUACAUUGAGUAUUUCCCCGUGCUAUUAAAGAAGGCUGUGGCAUGUGUCGUAUAGAAUUCAUUGUUGAGUUGCACCAUCAUUUAUUUAGCGACUUCCCCGUUGGCAGACACUCAGCCCAGCUCCGCAGGGGAGAGGUCAGGGCUGUGGCUGGCAGGAUGGAGUUGCCGAGCGGGGAGCAUGUAAUCUCGCUCCGGCACCCCCGAGUUCUCAAGGCUCUGACCGGCUGGCGCCUUCCCGGCAGCCUCUCUCCCCGGGCCCCACGAUCCUGCUGUGGGCCGGAAGGGGAGUGCCCGUAGAGGGCAUGUGCAUUUCUUGUCGGGUGUCGAGUGAUUUUAAAUGACAGUGUCUCUCUCUCCCCUCCCCUCCCCUCCCUUCCCCUCUGUGCUCUGGUCACCCCCACAGGGCAGUAAACGGCUUUGACCCAGCGCCUCCUCCUCCUGGUCUGGGCUCCUCGCGCCCGUCGUCAGCACCGGGUAUGCUGCCUCUCAGUGUGUGAGUGCCCGGCCUCCGGGUGGGGGCGCCUGCCCUCCUCCAACAGCCCAGGACACCCACGCCUCGUCCCUCUGUGCCCGGGCCCGGCCUGGGCCCCUGCGUCUGCCUCCCCACGGCUGGCAGAGGGCAGGCUGCAUGCGGCGGCGGCUGCUGGGCCCUGCCUGGCCCCAGGACUCUGCGCGAUAUCAAUACUGGCUAUUUCCUCUUCUCGCCGUGGUGCCGUUGGUCUCACAUGAUUGCACUUUUGUGGGUCACAAGGUGGCACGUCCGUGUACUCCUUGGUCACUGGAUGCAGAAGUACCCAUCAUCAUCACGCCUGCCCCAUAGCUCCCACCCAGCUGUACGGAUAGGGUUUAGUUGUGUUUAAGACAUUGCCGACCUUCUAGAAGGUCUCCCCCAGAUCAGGUCAACACGUGCCCCCGCCCCUCCCCCCCAGCUCCCGCCAGCUCCCGCCCACGCUUCUUCAGCGCUCAUGAUCGCGUGUUCUCCAGCUCCACUCCCCACCGUGUGACCUGCUGCUGGUCGGGGGUCGGGAAGGUCACCGAAUUAGGGAACAUUUUCUGCACCUUCUGAUUUUACUUUAGCGGUUAUCAUUCCAUAGACUUGCCUCCCAGAGCAGCGAAAUGCCCGUCUGGACCCCAGCUAGCGGGAGCCUCUGGGGCCGGGGCACCAUCUGCUCCUCAUCCGUGUGCCUCAGACUCGGGGUGAGGGGCGGGGGCAGCCUCCUUGCCAGCUCUCUGGUCCUUCAGUUAAGCGACAUCUUUCAGGGCGUUUUGUUUUGUCCUCUGAGGGCCUGUCCACUUGUGUUAGGAAGCGUCGAGCGGCCCCAUUCAGGGGGCUUCUGGUGGGCAGACUGGCCGUAAAUGGUUGCUCCCGAUCAUCUUGAUUACUCUCAUGCUGCAUUUACUGUUUACAUUUGUUUUAUUGUACAUAGGUUUGUAAACAUUAUCGCCUAAGAUAUUUGUAUAUAACUUGGGCUUUGUAGCUUUUAUUUAUUCAGAACUCACACGGCAUGUUAAUGACUUACGAUGGUGUCCUACUCUGGGCAGCUGCAUAGGAUCAUCAUGUGGUUAAAAGAAAAUACUUCCCCUCAAAAAAAUCUUUUAAUGUGGAAACAAUAAAUUUCACAGAAAAAACCAAACCAAAA